rfam:Myotis lucifugus cont2.40506, whole genome shotgun sequence.
GGUGGUUCUUGGGUGAUGCCCCUGGAAUUGGGCUCCCUCUUCUCUGGUUCUGGGUGGAUCACCCAAGAACACCA